rnacentral:sRNA from 1 species
CACACUACUGCGCAAGCAAUCAAGUGGAAUAGGGAAGUCCAAGAGGAGUCUUGCUUUUGUUUCUCCGUGAACUAUGCACAUGGCAGAUGCGGGCCUGGCGCAAGCGCUGGUUUGUCCUCCGGCGAGGCCGCAUGAGCGGCAACCCCGAUGUCUUGGAGUACUACAGGAACAAGCACUCCAGCAAGCCCAUCCGGGUGAUAGACCUCAGCGAGUGUGCAGUGUGGAAGCAUGUGGGCCCCAGCUUUGUUCGGAAGGAAUUUCAGAAUAAUUUCGUGUUCAUUGUCAAGACUACUUCCCGUACAUUCUACCUGGUGGCCAAAACUGAGCAAGAAAUGCAGGUGUGGGUGCACAGCAUCAGUCAGGUCUGCAACCUUGGCCACCUGGAGGAUGGUGCAGCAGAUUCCAUGGAGAGCCUCUCUUACACGCCCUCCUCCCUGCAGCCAUCCUCUGCCAGCUCCCUUCUUACCGCCCAUGCUGCCAGCUCCUCUUUGCCAAGAGAUGACCCAAACACUAAUGCCGUAGCCACUGAGGAAACCAGAAGUGAGUCAGAGCUUCUCUUCCUUCCAGAUUAUCUGGUUUUGUCCAACUGCGAGACUGGAAGACUGCACCAUACCAGCUGAUGUAGAAGGCCAAUCCUUAAGACACCGAGACAAGCGGCUUAGUUUGAAUUUGCCAUGCAGGUUCUCCCCGAUGUACCCCACAGCUUCAGCCAGUAUCGAAGACAGCUAUGUGCCCAUGAGCCCCCAGGCUGGUGCCUCUGGUCUUGGACCCCACUGCAGCCCUGAUGACUACAUUCCAAUGAACUCAGGAAGCAUCUCAAGCCCGUUGCCUGAGCUGCCUGCAAACCUGGAACCUCCCCCAGUGAAUAGAGAUCUCAAGCCUCAGAGGAAAUCACGGCCACCUCCUCUGGACCUGAGAAACCUCUCCAUCAUCCGGGAACAUGCAUCUCUUACCAGGACCCGCACUGUGCCUUGCAGUCGAACCAGCUUUCUCUCUCCAGAAAGAAAUGGUAUUAAUUCUGCAAGAUUUUUUGCUAAUCCUGUUUCCAGAGAAGACGAAGAAAGCUACAUUGAAAUGGAGGAGCACCGAACAGCCAGUUCCCUGAGCAGUGGUGCUCUUACGUGGACAAAGAAAUUCAGCCUAGAUUAUUUGGCCCUGGACUUCAAUUCAGCAUCACCAGCCCCCAUGCAGCAGAAACUUCUCCUUUCAGAAGAACAAAGAGUAGACUAUGUCCAAGUGGAUGAGCAGAAGACACAGGCUCUCCAGAGCACAAAACAGGAGUGGACGGAUGAAAGGCAAUCCAAAGUAUGAGAGGUGCGGGCUUGUGCCAUGUGUGAAACAGGGAAGCUUGGGGCUCAGUUUGAGUUUUUUCUUUUUCUUUUUUUUUUUUUUUUUGUCCACUAAAAACACACUGAUGGUCAACACAGGUCAAAACCAAGAGAGAAUGUGUAGUUUUCAAGGUCUUGGCCAGAACCUUUAGGAAAGAAGACCUGUUUAUACAUUGAAGGAAGAAAAGAAGGAAGCAGUUGCCUUCCGGAGGGGGCUCUGAGAGAAUCUAGCCUCCCCUCUGUCCUAUUGGAGCAAAGAUUGGAGUGAGUGUUGCCACCAACAGGAUUUUAUCGUUUGACUCCAAUACCUGAAAUUCUGACUUCUCUCCUGUGCUUCAAUGAGAAUGAUAAAUUAUCCUAGCAAAGGGGCCUCUGGAGACCAUCUUGUUCCAGCCUCUGAAGACAGUUGAGGAGAUCAAGCCCAGCAAUGGUGGCAGAAUCUUACUCCAAAGACUUCAGCAGACUAGUCAUUUCAAUACCCAAAGAAAGACAAGUGACAGGGGCAAUGGAUCUCAGGCUCUGAGAUAAGUAUAUCAGAUGACACUGGUGGCUCUAAGGAUAUUGCAAUUAAGCAGCUACCUGUAGCCAGGUAUUCUGCUGCUCUUGGCCUUUUCCCACGCAUCGUCUCAUGUCUUCUCCGAAAGACCUUGGAAGAUAGGCCUGGAAGAGACUGUUGAUGCCACUUUGAAGAAAAGAACACUGAGAACUAGAGGAGGGAACACUUUGCCCAAGAUUACUCACAAAGCCAAGACCCAGAGUCCAGCUUAGAGAAUAGAGUUGUUCAGGCUGCCAAUUGCAAGCUCAUUCCUCUACCUCAUACUUCCUCUGAGGAUUUUGACAAAAUGGAUUAAUUGGGUGAGCCUUGGAGACAUGUGGGAAACACCUGCAGACACAAAAUGAGUAAUCAUCCUGUCUCCCUUUCAAUAGGGAUCUGAACAGGUGUUUUGAUACUUGAAAGAUGUGCAUGUCAAGUGAGGGUUUCUUUCUGCGAUGUUCAACUGGAACUCUCCCAUCAGUAGUUACAAUUAGAAAUACCUACUGAUGGUUAGUCUGAAGGCCAUUCUCAUGGUCACCUAUACAGUGUGUUUCCCUGUGAGCUGGCUAAUAAAAUGACCAGGAAAAAACCUAUGAAUUCCAUUCUUAGGUUUCCCAGCCAAUUGCUCCCUUCUGCUUUAGAAGUGACUAGGUACUGAGAGUACAAACACUCCCACUUUAUAAUGAAGGCGUCAUGUCACCCCUUCCUUUACAGGUCCUGGGGUCCAGGAGACCCAGAAUGAAGGUGUCAGUUGGGCAUGAAGUGUUAUUUAGUGUCCAUUCUUGAUCCUUCUGAGCACCUACAGCUGGAAACUAAGCAGAUACUGGUCCUGCAUUCUGACUGAGAUUGUGUCUUCUUUAUGAGGAUAGAUCAAAUUGGCAGUCAGGCCCAUGAUAGUCAGUGCAGUUGGGGCAGUUGUAGACUUUGCUACAGGAUUUCAGGGUUUCCAAUCACCCCACAGGUAAGUGAAUGCCAAAGUCUUCUUUUUUCAGACCAUACAAGAAGUCAUUUUGAUUUUCAAAGAAGCCGUUUUGAUUUUCAAAGAAGCAGGUUCUGGUGACAUUAUUUUCUUCCUUGGACAAAGUGGGGGGAAAUUUCUAAGUAUUUUAACUGAGUUCAGGGUCCUUAGUGAGCCUGGACAGAGCAAGGAGAGGGCUCCCCACUCCCUAAGCCCCACAGCCAGCUCUGCAUCACCACACACAGCCAGAGCCUGUGAGGAGCUGCCUUCUUCCCCAUGUGACUUGCAAAGAGUCUCAGGCAAGAAACCAGGGCUUCAAACUGCCAGUUCCCAUGGAGGGUAGUUCCCUCGUGUGGAGCACUUGUGUUAGGAUCACUGAUUAUCUGACAAAGUCUGGUGCAGAAAAAAAAUUGUAGGCCCAAGUGUCAAGAACCACACCAGAUUGGAGAUAGAAAAGAAUAGCUGAAAUUAUGUCAGUAGUGAAAUGUCACUCCAUUGACCCACCGAAAAAAGAAAUCUGUUUCUACCAAACAUUUCCAGAAACGUAUUUAUAGCAUGAAGAAACACACAUGGGUAGUGUGACCUGUUUGGAUGUGAUUACUUAAAAAUGGAAUGCUCUGAAUAGGCACUCUCUACAUUAAAGGUAUGGAAGGCGAUAGGGGUCAGAAUUUUUAAAAUUUAAUUUUGAAAAAGGUGACUCACCCCUCAUUUCCAGAGUGUAUGCAAUUAUGUCCUGCUUUGAUAAAACUGCUAGAUGAUGGCUAUGCAAAAGCAUAAUGAUUCAAGGAAACAAAGUACAGGUAGUUUUUGAGCUGACAGCAGCAAAGGCACCAUAAGUCAAAAUACUGGUUUUGGUGGAGAUGAUCGAUGUGUGUGUGUGAGAGAGAGCUAUGUUUCUAACCAAGGGCCUAAUGUUUGUUACAGAAAUGAUCCCAGAGACCUACAAGAUGUGGGAAUCAGCAUAACAGGGCAAUGCAGCAAUUAACCCCACAUUGUUUUCUGUAGUUCCUUUUUGUUUCAUUUUCUUCUGUCUCACCUCGUUAGAAAAUUCCUCCCAGUCAGGGGUCGUCCAGUGCAGGACGGGGGACCCAAGGGUCUCAAGCCUGCAAGUCCAGAAGGUGACAAACCCAGGAGCACUGGGAGUUAAGCUUUCCUUGGGGAGGGAAGAGCCUUGAUGUCCAGCACACAGCCUGGCUAUAAAGACACGAAGCGACCUACCCACUGUACAGUCCACUUCACAGGAUCAGCUGAAUCAUGACCUUUAAAAGUUCCGAGUUGAAACUGAAGGCUUUCCUCAGACCUGGCUUUUUCCUCAGUCCCUGUUCAUAUCAUCUCUGCACCCACAAUCACACUGAUUUUUCAAAUUCAUUUUGUUUUUGCUGUUUCAUUUCUGGCAUUAAUAAAAGUCUUAUAAGGAGAAA